GACGAACCGUGCGACCGUUGUUCGGAAUCACUGGGCUUAAAGGGCGCGUAGGCGGACCACCAAGUCCGGGGUGAAAUCUUUCGGCUUAACCGGAAAACAGCCUUGGAUACUGGUGGUCUCGAGUGAGGUAGGGGCCGUUGGAACUUCCGGUGGAGCGGUGAAAUGCGUUGAUAUCGGAAGGAACGCCGGUGGCGAAAGCGAACGGCUGGACCUCUUCUGACGCUGAGGCGCGAAAGCCAGGGGAGCAAACGGG
rnacentral:rRNA from 1 species